rnacentral:misc_RNA from 1 species
CAGAACUCAAAAUAUUUCCAUGCUAUGGCAUCCACUUGCAGGAAACUAAACUUUAUUAGCAGACUAAACGAAAUUGAUUGGGAAAGUGGUUUAGGAGAUUUUAUUGUUAAUUAUUUCACUGACCUUUUUUCUUCCUCCGGAAGUGAUGGUCAGGCAAUUGCGAGUUGUGUUAAAACUCAUCUUUCGAUGGAACAAAAGGAUACUUUGUCGCAACCAUUUCAAAUGGAAGACGUUAAG